AGAUUCCGUUUUCAGUCGGGAAAAACUGAA
rnacentral:misc_RNA from 1 species